rnacentral:rRNA from 1 species
GACGCUGGCGGCAGGCUACACACUGCAGUNAGCGGAAACGACAUCAUUCAGAAUCUUCGGAUGAUUUGAAUUGGGCGUCGAGCGGCGGACGGGUGAGUAAUGCCUAGGAAAUUGCCUUGAUGUGGGGGAUAACCAUUGGAAACGAUGGCUAAUACCGCAUAAUGCCUACGGGCCAAAGAGGGGGAUCUUCGGACCUCUCGCGUCAAGAUAUGCCUAGGUGGGAUUAGCUAGUUGGUGAGGUAAUGGCUCACCAAGGCGACGAUCCCUAGCUGGUCUGAGAGGAUGAUCAGCCACACUGGAACUGAGACACGGUCCAGACUCCUACGGGAGGCAGCAGUGGGGAAUAUUGCACAAUGGGCGAAAGCCUGAUGCAGCCAUGCCGCGUGUAUGAAGAAGGCCUUCGGGUUGUAAAGUACUUUCAGUUGUGAGGAAGGGUGUGUAGUUAAUAGCUGCGCAUCUUGACGUUAGCAACAGAAGAAGCACCGGCUAACUCCGUGCCAGCAGCCGCGGUAAUACGGAGGGUGCGAGCGUUAAUCGGAAUUACUGGGCGUAAAGCGCAUGCAGGUGGUUCAUUUAAGUCAGAUGUGAAAGCCCCGGGGGCUCCACACCCUCGGAAACUUGGCGAUUUUGAA